GCAUCAGUAAUGAAAUCUUUGCCUUGUCUCUAGAGAGGUGUUGUCUUAAAAGUCUUGUGCAAUUGAGUUACGCUGUGGACC
rnacentral:snoRNA from 1 species